GGGGUGGGGUCCCUUGGUGCAAUUUAUCAGAUUCUGCUGCGUGGAUGACAUCCACAGUGUUCCUCUCUAGUGGGGAUUAUCUGAGACCUUUCCGCAUGCCCGCACCCACAGUCCGCUCCCUCACGGCAGCAUGAACUCAGGAGGCGGGCGUUCCCACAGUCAUUACAUUUGCAGGGCCUCUCUAUGUCCACUCUGAUGCCUGAGGACCAGCGCUUCCACGAAGGUGUGGCCACGUCCAGUGCUGCUCAUUGGCUUCUCUCCUGCGGGAAUGUUCUGAUCCCGAACGGAGCCUGAGCAUGCGCGAAACCCUUCCCACGUUCACAAGGUGCUUCUCCAGUGUUCCAUUACAUCUCACCUAUGCACACUUCAUGCAUACGGUUUCCACCGGCUGUGCGUGUCCCUAGAAGUCACAUUCACGGCGUUUCUCCCUGGGAGGAAUUCUCCCGUGCAUGGCUGCUCUGAGACCAUUUGCACCUGCGGCCACGCGUGGGCUCCUCGAGGCUUACAAACCAGGCUGGACUCCUGAAGCCCUAGCUGCACUCGGCACUCAGCGAGGUUUUUCUACAAAAUCUCAUCUCAGCCAUCUGAGUCCUUCACCAUUUAUCUUAUGAAUCCGCUCGAACGUACAAGGAAGGCCUCUCUGCCCUCCUGCUCCAGGGAGGAGGUUUUGACCCUCAGCUCCACCUCUGCGGCUGGCCCGGUCUCCACAAACCUUUUUCUGCUUGGCCAGCUGGUGCCAUGCUAGGCUUUCCCACUAGGGGCGCCAGAGAAAGCGCGUGAGGCUGCGGAGGAGAGAGGGGCACACUCCGGUUUGCUUCCGGUUUUUUCCUCAGGCUUCCGGUCUGUUUGGUGCCCUGGUCGCGUGUCUUCCGAACUCUGCUGCUUCGCCCCGGCAAGAGCACUUCCUUCCGCGGCUGCUAAAACUGGUGCGCGGGUUCCCAACUUCGCAGAAGCAGCUUCAUCGCCCCCCCGCUAGAGACCUCAGACCGCAGCCAUCGACGCCUCGCCUCGGGGAUCUGUCCCCACCCUCGGGGCCAGGGCAGGGACCAGAGACCUGUGAAGCCCUCUCCUUAGGGGUUUAGUUCCCAGGCUUUCUGACCCCAGUAAUUCCAAACGCUUCCCUUUGUUUCCACAGCCCUAGCGUAGCAGCUGCUCCCUGCAGUUUUUGCUUCUGAGAUACUUAAGAGUUCUCUUUUCAGCUCCUUCGGUAGUCACUUCGUACAUAGUGAUUCAUGAUGCGAAAUCCUCUCUGUUGAAAUAACUGACGAGGCCUCUGUCUUCUGACUGGACCCUGACUUCCAUGCCCUUUCCACCCUCACUCCAGUACAUGCCCAAACCCCAAUCUUUGUUGCUCCAGGCAUUGCCUCGGUGGCGCUGUGUCCCCUCCUUUGAACUCUGAUCCUUCUGCUCAGGCCCUUUCUCCCAGUCUGAAGUAAGGAGUGAAAAAAUGUGAAUUGUUCUACUCAUCUGGAAAAGAGAACCCUGAGGCAGGAACAAGUCGUUAAUUGCAUGCGCGUUUGUCCACAGCUCACCAUGAGUCAGGCCCUGUGCUAGGUGCUGGGAUGAAGCAGUGACUGACACAGGCCUGGACCUGUCCUUGUGAAGAGUGCGUCUGUGACACAGAUACUGUGCCAUGUGGCAAAACUUGAAUGGAGACAUCAGCUCUUUGUGGGUCUCAAGUCUACUGGCUUUCAAUCAGCUCUUCUGCUUGACAGCUGCAGGUCUUGGGACUGCCCAGCCCCCAUAACCCUGUGAGUGCAUUCCUGAUAAUAACCCUCUUUCUCUUGUCCUCCCCCACCCCACAUCAUUGGUUCUGUUUCUCUGGAGAACCAUAAUACAUCAUUUACUAAUCAGGAAAUAGAUUCAGAGACAUUAAUAACUCAUCCAACCUCACAGUUAACUGUAGAGUUGGGCUUGAAAUUCCAAGGUCGAUUUUCUUAGCCAAUACACCAUGCUACAUAUAUGUAUGUAAAAAUAAAAACGCUUGUGAACUGAAAA